GACGAACGCUGGCGGCGUGCCUAAUACAUGCAAGUCGAACGCUGAAGGAGGAGCUUGCUUCUCUGGAUGAGUUGCGAACGGGUGAGUAACGCGUAGGUAACCUGCCUGGUAGCGGGGGAUAACUAUUGGAAACGAUAGCUAAUACCGCAUAAGAGUAGAUGUUGCAUGACAUUUGCUUAAAAGGUGCAAUUGCAUCACUACCAGUUGGACCUGCGUUGUUUUAGCUAGUUGGUGGGGUAACGGCACACCAAGGCGAGGAUACAGAGCAGACCGGAGAGGGUGAGCGGCCACACUGGGACUGUGACACGGCCCAGACGCCUACGGGAGGCAGCAGGAGUGCAACGUCGGCAAUGGGCGGAAGUCUGACCGAGCAACGCCGCGGGAGGGAAGAAGGAUGUCGGAUCGGAGAGCUCGGUUGUAAGAGAAGAACGAGUGUGAGAGUGGAAAGUACACACUGUGACGGUAACUGAUCAGGAAGGGACGGCUAACUACGUG
rnacentral:rRNA from 1 species